rnacentral:rRNA from 1 species
AGCAGCCGCGGUAAUUCCAGCUCCAAUAGCGUAUAUUAAAGUUGUUGCAGUUAAAAAGCUCGUAGUUGAAUUUCGGGGUCAGUAGGUUGGUCGUGCCACUGGUAUGUACUGGCCUCACUGAUUCCUCCUUCUUGUAGAACCGUAAUGCCAUUAAUUUGGUGUUGCGGGGAAACAGGACUGUUACUUUGAAAAAAUUAGAGUGUUUAAAGCAGGCUAACGCUUGAAUACAUUAGCAUGGAAUAAUGAAAUAGGACGUUCGAUCCUAUUUUGUUGGUUUCUAGGAUUGACGUAAUGAUUAAUAGGGAUAGUUGGGGGCAUUAGUAUUCAAUUGUCAGAGGUGAAAUUCUUGGAUUUAUUGAAGACUAACUACUGCGAAAGCAUUUGCCAAGGAUGUUUUCAUUAAUCAAGAACGAAAGUUAGGGGAUCGAAGACGAUCAGAUACCGUCGUAGUCUUAACCAUAAACUGUGCCGACUAGGGAUCGGAUGAUGUUAAUUUUUAAUGUACUCAUUCGGCGCCUUA